GAAAUGCGAUAAGUAAUGUGAAUUGCAGAAUUCAGUGAAUCAUCGAAUCUUUGAACACACAUUGCGUCCGCCAGUAUUCUGGCGGGCAUGCCUGUCCGAGCGUCAUUUCAACCAUCAAGCCCCCGGGCUUGUGUUGGGGACCUGCGGCUGCCCGCAGGCCCUGAAAACCAGUGGCGGGCUCGCUGUCACACCGAGCGUAGUAGCAAUCACCUCGCUCAGGGCGUGCUGCGGGUUCCGGCCGUUAAACAGCCUUACAAAACCCAAGGUUGACCUCGGAUCAGGUAGGAAGACCCGCUGAACUUAAGC
rnacentral:misc_RNA from 1 species